rnacentral:rRNA from 1 species
UACGUAGGGUGCGAGCGUUAAUCGGAAUUACUGGGCGUAAAGCGUGCGCAGGCGGUUCGCCAAGUCAGGUAUGAAAUCCCCGGGCUUAACCUGGGAAUUGCGCUUGAAACUAGCGGGCUUGAGUGCGGCAGAGGGGGGUGGAAUUCCACGUGUAGCAGUGAAAUGCGUAGAGAUGUGGAGGAACACCGAUGGCGAAGGCAGCCCCCUGGGUCGACACUGACGCUCAUGCACGAAAGCGUGGGGAGCAAACAGG